rnacentral:lncRNA from 1 species
GCUGCUUUAGAAAAUUAAGGGGAACAUGUUAUAUUUUUCUAAUUUUAUGUUAUUCUAACUCUAAGUAUUAUUUGUUAAAGUCUUUGUAAAGUACUGAAGGAAUCUGUCCAGUUUAUUUCCAUAGGUUGGGCCAAAUUUAAGACUUUAGGACAAAUUUGACUACUGUUCAGCUAGGUAUCAUCCAGCCUAGCGUGUUUGUCCAGUUUUUUAGGCUUAAUAAAAAUAAGGACUGAAACAUCAUCUCAGGCUUAAAUAGUAAAGUCAGAAAAGCCUGGAAAGACCUUUUGGUUUCUCUCUUUCCCACACAUCUUGUCGGUCCCCACCCCCCUACCCAGC